rnacentral:rRNA from 1 species
GACGAACGCUGGCGGCGUGCUUAACACAUGCAAGUCGAACGGAAAGGCCCUGCUUUUGUGGGGUGCUCGAGUGGCGAACGGGUGAGUAACACGUGAGUAACCUGCCCUUGACUUUGGGAUAACUUCAGGAAACUGGGGCUAAUACCGGAUAGGAGCUCCUGCUGCAUGGUGGAGGUUGGAAAGUUUCGGCGGUUGGGGAUGGACUCGCGGCUUAUCAGCUUGUUGGUGGGGUAGUGGCUUACCAAGGCUUUGACGGGUAGCCGGCCUGAGAGGGUGACCGGCCACAUUGGGACUGAGAUACGGCCCAGACUCCUACGGGAGGCAGCAGUGGGGAAUAUUGCACAAUGGGCGGAAGCCUGAUGCAGCAACGCCGCGUGUGGGAUGACGGCCUUCGGGUUGUAAACCGCUUUCGCCUGUGACGAAGCGUGAGUGACGGUAAUGGGUAAAGAAGCACCGGCUAACUACGUG